rnacentral:tRNA from 1 species
GUGGGUGUAGAUCAGUGGUAGAACACUUGCUUAUCAUGCUUAAGGUCCUGGGUUCCAACCCCAGCACCACA